UACGUAGGGUGCAAGCGUUGUCCGGAAUUAUUGGGCGUAAAGAGCUCGUAGGCGGUUUGUCGCGUCUGCUGUGAAAACUCGGGGCUUAACCCCGGGCCUGCAGUGGGUACGGGCAGACUAGAGUGCGGUAGGGGAGACUGGAAUUCCUGGUGUAGCGGUGAAAUGCGCAGAUAUCGGGAAGAACACCCGUGGCGAAGGCGGCUCUCUGGGACGGUACUGACGCUGAGACGCGAAAGCGUGGGGAGCGAACAGG
rnacentral:rRNA from 1 species